GCCUGGGUGGCUCAGUCGUUGGAGCGUCUGACUUCAGCUCAGGUCAUGAUCUCGUGGUUGGUGGGUUCAAGCCCUGCAUUGGGCU
rnacentral:tRNA from 1 species